UACGUAGGCAGCGAGCGUUGUUCGGAAUUAUUGGGCGUAAAGAGCUCGUAGGCGGUUUGUCGCGUUCUGCUGAUGAAAACUUCGGGGCUUAACUCCGGGCCUGCAGUGGGUACGGGCAGACUAGAGUGCGGUAGGGGAGACUGGAAUUCCUGGUGUAGCGGUGAAAUGCGCAGAUAUCGGGAGGAACACCGGUGGCGAAGGCGGUUCUCUGGGCCU
rnacentral:rRNA from 1 species